rnacentral:rRNA from 1 species
UGACGAAGCGACGCCGCGUGUGGGAAGAAGGCCUUCGGGUUGUAAACCACUGUCAGGAGUUAAGAAAUGUAAGGGUGCUAAUAGUAUCCUUACUUGACUAAGGCUCCAGAGGAAGCCACGGCUAACUCUGUGCCAGCAGCCGCGGUAAUACAGAGGUGGCAAGCGUUGUUCGGAAUUAUUGGGCGUAAAGAGCACGUAGGCGGUUCUGCAAGUCGGCUGUGAAAGCCUUCCGCUCAACGGAAGAACAGCAGUUGAUACUACAGGACUAGAGUGCGGGAGGGGAGAGUGGAACUUCUGGUGGAGCGGUGAAAUGCGUAGAUAUCAGAAGGAACGCCGGCGGCGAAAGCGACUCUCUGGCCCGUAACUGACGCUGAGUGUGCGAAAGCUAGGGGAGCAAACGGGAUUAGAUACCCCGGUAGUCCUAGCCGUAAACGAU